GGGUUUAUAGCUCAGGAGUAGGGCACAUGCUUAGCAUGCACAAGGUCCUGGGUUCAAUCCCCAGUACCUCCA
rfam:Camelus ferus unplaced genomic scaffold scaffold951, whole genome shotgun sequence.